rnacentral:tRNA from 1 species
GCACGAUUGGCAGAGUGGUAAUGCAGCGGAUUGCAAAUCCGCCGGGGAAACCCAUCGUCGGUUCAAAUCCGGCAUCGUGCUCCA